AUUUUUUACACGGGGGGAAACCCUGAUCCAGCCAUCCCGUGUGUAUGAUGAAGGCNUUNNGGUUGNANAGUACUUUUGGCAAANNNNNGAAUGUAUCCCAUAAUACGGGCUACUGCUGACGGUAUCUGCUGAAUAAGCAUCGGCUAACUACGUGCCAUCAGCCGCGGUAAUACGUAGGGUUCAAGCGUUAAUCGGAAUUACUGGGGGUAAAGCGUGUGUAGGCGGUACGAUAAGAAAGAUGUGAAAUCCCAGGGCUCAACCUUAGAACUGCAUUUUUUACUGCCGAGCUAGAGUAUGUCAGAGGGGGGUAGAAUUCCACGUGUAGCAGUGAAAUGCGUAGAUAUGUGGAGGAAUACCGAUGGCGAAGGCAGCCCCCUGGGAUAAUACUGACGCUCAGACACGAAAGCGUGGGGAGCAAACAGG
rnacentral:rRNA from 1 species